rnacentral:misc_RNA from 1 species
AAUUCAAUCCAACCGAAAUUGAUUGAUUGUGUUUUGCUUUGUUUGUCAUGUCAUGUAUGCCAUUAUUAACUAGAUCAAUAAUUGUGUGUAAAUGGAUAUUAUUUUCUACCUGAAUUAUGCUUCAGACCAAAUUUAUCAGAUGAUUUCGAUAUAUUUUUAUGAUGAAUUUUGUAUUUCUUAUUUUCUUUUCUAUUCAUUUCAUUAAUUUAUAGACUAGCUUCUCAUAUUAGAGUGAAGUUUUUGUCAAUACUGGCAGGAUGGAUCCAGUAGGGGGGGCAGUGGGGGCACUUGCCCCCACUGCCCUCAAAUUUCCCUUCAAAAAAUAAUUUUUUUUUUGUAAAAUACUAAAAUUCUAACCUUGCUCCAUGUUUGAAGGUAUUAAUUUGCCCCCACACUCAAAGAUGUUCCUCACAAUUUUUUUUUCAUUAAAUAAUUUUAUCUUAUUCCCAUUAAAGUUUGGAUUAUUCAUAUUGUAGGUCCCUAAAAUUAAUUAAUUUGUUCCUAGUUGAAAUAAACUUAUUGGUUGAAUGCAUAUAUGAGUGAGAAUGCACAUUUAUGCCUAUCAUUUGCCCCUACGAAUAAGAAUUUUUGGAUCCGUCCCUGAACAUUGGUUAAUAUCAAUGUAGUAUUUGGCAGCGUAUAUCAUGCCACCGUUGGCAAUUUGCUAUGUCCUAAUCUAUGAGUUUGAUGCUGCUUCUUCUAUUGAAUUUGUAGCCGAGGAUGCACCGUUGCACAUCGCUUUUUUUGAAUAAUUACCUGAGAGGAAACUGUAAUUGCUUCUGUGUUGCAAAGGUGUUUGUGGUUGUAAUAGUUUAUAGCAAAAAUUUUCAUUUUCAUUAUUUUGACCACCAAGCAAUGCUUUUUAUUAGUGUGCAGGGUGUGAACAGUAACACAAAUUAGCUGAUAAUCUUGGUCUCAUAAUUGAGUAUAAUUUGCUGGAGGACAUAAUUGCAGAAUCAAACACAGAUCAAGUUUGAUAAAUGACAAUGAAUUUCAGUAUUUAUACAGUUUUCUUCUUUAGAUAAUUUUGUCUGUGGUUAUAAAGAAAAUAAUUUUGUCUGUGGUUAUAAUUCAAACUUCAUCUUUAUUAUGUACUAACUUUGUAAGAACUGAAAAAAUACAAAACUGUUGACAGUCCAUUGGCAUGCCGUUAACAUCAUAAUUCCUAUUUAUAUGAAUUUUUUAUUUUUAUUUAUGUUGUACAUAUAAAUUAUCUUUCUUCAUGAUAUCCAAUUGCUAAAAAUUGUAGCCUGUAACAAGCAGCAUAAAGCAAAUAGCUAAUGUCCUUGCCCACAUUCCUGGCCUUCCUCCUAGCUGAUACAUUGCAUUUCCUCCAUUCUAUAAGCCAAAACAAAAAGCAAGAAAACAAUUAUUCAAAAUAAUUUGACGUUAACAAGUAUUGUUAUAAGAAAUAUCAAUUCUGACAGUUGCUCUAUCAGUAAUCUUGAUGGAAGGUUUGUGUAAUGUACCAGAUCUGGGGAUGGUGCAGGGGCUGUAUCCUCAGAAUCUGUUACUGCCACUGGUGCAGGUGGGGCUGGUGGGCUGGGGGGAGUUGGUGAUGGUGCUGAUGCAGGUGGAUGAUGAUGCUUCUUGUGCCUGUGCCUUCUUUUCUUCUUGUGUUUGGAUGGAGCUGGUGCGGGUGAAGGCACUAAUUCAGGUGUUGGGGCCAGUGGUGGAGUCGCUGGUACUGGGGCUGGUGGAGUCGCUGGUGCUGGUGU